rnacentral:rRNA from 1 species
CGUGUAGGCGGGCUGGAAAGUUGGGGGUGAAAUCCCGAGGCUCAACCUCGGAACUGCCUCCAAAAACUUCCAGCCUGGACUCAAGCAGAGGCAAGUGGAAUUGCGAGUGUAGAGGUGAAAUUCGUAGAUAUUCGCAGGAACACCAGUGGCGAAGGCGACUUGCUGGGCUUGUAGUGACGCUGAGGCGCGAAAGCCAGGGAGCAAACG